GUGUGAGUCUGUAGUUGCAGCUACUCGGGAAGCUGAGGCAGGAGAGGCCACAGCAAACCAAGAUCAUGCCACUGAACUCCAGCCUGGGUGACAGAGACUUUGUCUUGAAAGAACAAACAAGUAUCGUAUCUUUUACAGACAUAUACCAAGACAGUCAGGGGGAAAUUAUGUGAUGCAUGGGAUUUGCUAUAAAAUCAAGAGAGGAAGAGGAGAAGCGUGUAGGAGUGUACAUGUAAUGAGAUUGGCCACAAGAUAACAAAUAUCUGAAUCUGCUGCUGAGUAGGGGAAAGCUCACGACACUAGCCUCUUGUUCAGAAAACUCUAGAAUAGAAAGUUUGUCUAAAAAUCCACUUCGUGGAUUUGUAACAAGCAUUGAAUAAGAUCAUGUAUACAGAGUGCUUUAUCACCACGGCUUGCAGGUAGUCAGCACACAAACAUUGUUUUUAGUUCUGUAUAGUCCCUGUCCAUUAAUCACAUCCAAAAAAGAUAUGUUGUUGACACCAAGAGCUCUGGCCCGUGGAUCUUUGUCCACUUGGUGGUAAUUUAUUGGAAUUUGAGGUUUAGAAUGAGGAAAUGCCAGCCUUCAAAGCCCCAGGCCUACUAUGAAAUAGCAAAUCCAACAGUCCCACAUGCCUUCGUAGCAUACCUAGUAAGUAGGACCACUUUUCUCUGACCUUGUAGGCACUCUUGUUCAUUCACUCACUAUUUUUCAUUCAUUUCUUAUAUGCCAUGUAUUGGGUGCUAGGGACCCAUAAUACAGUGGACCCAUAAUUGGCUGGAAGGAUCACUUUCAAAGCAUCGUUUCAGGAUGAGUAUUUCAUGUCAAGUGGAUUCAAGGAACAGUGUGAAGGAUCCAUGGCCUCAGUCACCAUGAAGAACCUCCCAGGAGCCGGCCCUACUGGGCACAUGUUUGGCUGGCCGCGCCAAAAGCUGGGCAAAAAAAAAAAUGGAAGCGUAAGAACAUUUGCCCCGUUGAAAGUGAAGCUCCUGCUGACCACCCAGAGGAGGGUACCCUUG